GUGGGGAAUUUUGCGCAAUGGGCGCAAGCCUGACGCAGCAACGCCGCGUGAGUGAAGAAGGCCCUUGGGUCGUAAAGCUCUUUUCUGGGGGAAGAUGAUGACGGUACCCCAGGAAUAAGCACCGGCUAACUCCGUGCCAGCAGCCGCGGUAAGACGGAGGGUGCAAGCGUUGUUCGGAUUUACUGGGCGUAAAGGGCGUGUAGGCGGAAUUGCAAGCCGGGGGUGAAAGGCCUGGGCUCAACCCAGGACGGUCUUCCGGAACUGCAGCUCUAGAGAGAGUCAGAGGCAGGUGGAAUUCCAGGUGUAGAGGUGAAAUUCGUAGAUAUCUGGAGGAACACCGGCGGCGAAGGCGGCCUGCUGGGGCUCUUCUGACGCUGAGGCGCGAAAGCGUGGGUAGCAAACAGG
rnacentral:rRNA from 1 species